rnacentral:rRNA from 1 species
UGCUGGAGGUAUCAGAAGUGCGAAUGCUGACAUAAGUAACGAUAAAGCGGGUGAAAAGCCCGCUCGCCGGAAGACCAAGGGUUCCUGUCCAACGUUAAUCGGGGCAGGGUGAGUCGACCCCUAAGGCGAGGCCGAAAGGCGUAGUCGAUGGGAAACGGGUUAAUAUUCCCGUACUUGGUGUUACUGCGAAGGGGGGACGGAGAAGGCUAUGUUGGCCGGGCGACGGUUGUCCCGGUUUAAGCGUGUAGGUGUGUGUUCCAGGUAAAUCCGGUUCACUUUAACACUGAGGCGUGAUGACGAGGCACUACGGUGCUGAAGCAACAAAUGCCCUGCUUCCAGGAAAAGCCUCUAAGCAUCAGGUAACAUCAAAUCGUACCCCAAACCGACACAGGUGGUCAGGUAGAGAAUACCAAGGCGCUUGAGAGAACUCGGGUGAAGGAACUAGGCAAAAUGGUGCCGUAACUUCGGGAGAAGGCACGCUGACACGUAGGUGAAGUGAUUUACUCACGGAGCUGAAGUCAGUCGAAGAUACCAGCUGGCUGCAACUGUUUAUUAAAAACACAGCACUGUGCAAACACGAAAGUGGACGUAUACGGUGUGACGCCUGCCCGGUGCCGGAAGGUUAAUUGAUGGGGUCAGCGCAAGCGAAGCUCCUGAUCGAAGCCCCGGUAAACGGCGGCCGUAACUAUAACGGUCCUAAGGUAGCGAAAUUCCUUGUCGGGUAAGUUCCGACCUGCACGAAUGGCGUAAUGAUGGCCAGGCUGUCUCCACCCGAGACUCAGUGAAAUUGAACUCGCUGUGAAGAUGCAGUGUACCCGCGGCAAGACGGAAAGACCCCGUGAACCUUUACUAUAGCUUGACACUGAACAUUGAGCCUUGAUGUGUAGGAUAGGUGGGAGGCUUUGAAGUGUGGACGCCAGUCUGCAUGGAGCCGACCUUGAAAUACCACCCUUUAAUGUUUGAUGUUCUAACGUGGACCCGUUACCCGGGUUGCGGACAGUGUCUGGUGGGUAGUUUGACUGGGGCGGUCUCCUCCUAAAGAGUAACGGAGGAGCACGAAGGUUGGCUAAUCCUGGUCGGACAUCAGGAGGUUAGUGCAAUGGCAUAAGCCAGCUUGACUGCGAGCGUGACGGCGCGAGCAGGUGCGAAAGCAGGUCAUAGUGAUCCGGUGGUUCUGAAUGGAAGGGCCAUCGCUCAACGGAUAAAAGGUACUCCGGGGAUAACAGGCUGAUACCGCCCAAGAGUUCAUAUCGACGGCGGUGUUUGGCACCUCGAUGUCGGCUCAUCACAUCCUGGGGCUGAAGUAGGUCCCAAGGGUAUGGCUGUUCGCCAUUUAAAGUGGUACGCGAGCUGGGUUUAGAACGUCGUGAGACAGUUCGGUCCCUAUCUGCCGUGGGCGCUGGAGAACUGAGGGGGGCUGCUCCUAGUACGAGAGGACCGGAGUGGACGCAUCACUGGUGUUCGGGUUGUCAUGCCAAUGGCACUGCCCGGUAGCUAAAUGCGGAAGAGAUAAGUGCUGAAAGCAUCUAAGCACGAAACUUGCCCCGAGAUGAGUUCUCCCUGAGACUUAGAGUCUCCUGAAGGAACGUUGAAGACGACGACGUUGAUAGGCCGGGUGUGUAAGCGCAGCGAUGCGUUGAGCUAACCGGUACUAAUGAACCGUGAGGCUUAACCUU